rnacentral:lncRNA from 1 species
UAUGCGUGUGCAGGCUAACAGGUUCACAUCCCAUCAUCAAACUCAUUACCAUCAUCCCAUUCAAACAAGCACAUAGUGUAACCGAAUUCUAAUAUUUCCAAUUAAUCUUAGCCAUCCCUCAAUGAAGCACACUGGUUUCUACCAAUCAUCUUCCUUAAAAAUUCUUAUCCUAACAAACUUUCCCCCCUCAUUUUCCCCUCUCCUCACGCAUUCAACUCAUCUAUAAAAUGAACCAUCCACUGAACUCAAAGAACAAAAGAAGAAGUCUCUCCACUAAAACUUUGCAUAAACCAAAUUCACCCUCACCCUAAAGCUCAUCUUACAAGCAUCUUAGACUCAUCCUUGAAGUAUAAGCAAGUUGAGCUAAAAGCCUAAACUCACUCUCAC